UACAGAGGUCUCAAGCGUUGUUCGGAUUCAUUGGGCGUAAAGGGUGUGUAGGUGGCGUGGUAAGUCGGGUGUGAAAUUUCGGAGCUUAACUCCGAAACUGCAUUCGAUACUGCUGUGCUUGAGGACUGGAGAGGAGACUGGAAUUUACGGUGUAGCAGUGAAAUGCGUAGAGAUCAUGAGGAAGACCAGUGGCGAAGGCGGGUCUCUGGACAGUUCCUGACACUGAGGCACGAAGGCCAGGGGAGCAAACGGG
rnacentral:rRNA from 1 species